rnacentral:tRNA from 1 species
GGGUGCAGCUCAGUGGUAGAGCGUGUGCUUAGCCGGCAUAAGGUCCUGGGUUCAAUCCCCAGAACCCU